CCUACGGGUCGCAGCAGGGGGGAAUAUUGGACAAUGGGCGAAAGCCUGAUCCAGCAAUGCCGCGUGUGUGAAGAAGGUCUUCGGAUUGUAAAGCACUUUCGACGGGGACGAUGAUGACGGUACCCGUAGAAGAAGCCCUGGCUAACUUCGUGCCAGCAGCCGCGGUAAUACGAAGGGGGCUAGCGUUGCUCGGAAUGACUGGGCGUAAAGGGCGCGUAGGCGGUUUAUGCAGUCAGAUGUGAAAUCCCCGGGCUUAACCUGGGAACUGCAUUUGAGACGCAUAGACUAGAGGUCGAGAGAGGGUUGUGGAAUUCCCAGUGUAGAGGUGCAAUUCGUAGAUAUUGGGAAGAACACCGGUGGCGAAGGCGGCAACCUGGCUCGAUACUGACGCUGAGGCGCGAAUGCGUGGGGAGCAGACAGGAUUAGAUACCCCGGUAGUC
rnacentral:rRNA from 1 species